UACAGAGGAUGCAAGCGUUAUCCGGAAUGAUUGGGCGUAAAGCGUCUGUAGGUGGCUUUUUAAGUCCGCCGUCAAAUCCCAGGGCUCAACUCUGGACAAGCGGUGGAAACUACCAAGCUGGAGUACGGUAGGGGCAGAGGGAAUUUCCGGUGGAGCGGUGAAAUGCGUAGAGAUCGGAAGGAACGCCGGUGGCGAAAGCGACGUGCUGGACCUCUUCUGACGCUGAGGCGCGAAAGCCAGGGGAGCGAACGGG
rnacentral:rRNA from 1 species